rnacentral:rRNA from 1 species
GAAUUUUGGACAAUGGGCGAAAGCCUGAUCCAGCAAUGCCGCGUGCAGGAUGAAGGCCUUCCGGUUGUAAACUGCUCUUGUACGGACCGAAAAGCAUUGGGUUAAUACCUUGGAGUCAUGACGGUACCGUAAGCAUAAGCACCGGCAACCUACGUGCCACCAGCCGCGGUAAUAAGAAGGGUGCAAGCGUUAAGCGGAUUUACUGGGCGUAAAGCAUGCGCAGGCGGUUUUGUAAGACAGAGGUGAAAUCCCCGGGCUCAGCCUGGGAACUGCCUUUGUGACUGCAAGGCUAGAGUACGGCAGAGAGGGGUAGGAUUCCGCGUGUAGCAGUGAAAUGCGUAGAUAUGCGGAGGAACACCGAUGGCGAAGGCAGCCCCCUGGGCCUGUACUGACGCUCAUGCACGAAAGCGUGGGGAGCAAACA